UUACAAUGCAGUCGAACGGAAAGGCCCUUCGGGGUACUCGAGUGGCGAACGGGUGAGUAACACGUGGGUGAUCUGCCCUGCACUUUGGGAUAAGCCUGGGAAACUGGGUCUAAUACCGAAUAUGACCAUGCACUUCCUGGUGUGUGGUGGAAAGCUUUUGCGGUGUGGGAUGGGCCCGCGGCCUAUCAGCUUGUUGGUGGGGUAAUGGCCUACCAAGGCGACGACGGGUAGCCGGCCUGAGAGGGUGACCGGCCACACUGGGACUGAGAUACGGCCCAGACUCCUACGGGAGGCAGCAGUGGGGAAUAUUGCACAAUGGGCGCAAGCCUGAUGCAGCGACGCCGCGUGAGGGAUGACGGCCUUCGGGUUGUAAACCUCUUUCAGCACAGACGAAGCGCAAGUGACGGUAUGUGCAGAAGAAGGACCGGCCAACUACGUGCCAGCAGCCGCGGUAAUACGUAGGGUCCGAGCGUUGUCCGGAAUUACUGGGCGUAAAGAGCUCGUAGGUGGUUUGUCGCGUUGUUCGUGAAAACUCACAGCUUAACUGUGGGCGUGCGGGCGAUACGGGCAGACUUGAGUACUGCAGGGGAGACUGGAAUUCCUGGUGUAGCGGUGGAAUGCGCAGAUAUCAGGAGGAACACCGGUGGCGAAGGCGGGUCUCUGGGCAGUAACUGACGCUGAGGAGCGAAAGCGUGGGGAGCGAACAGGAUUAGAUACCCUGGUAGUCCACGCCGUAAACGGUGGGUACUAGGUGUGGGUUUCCUUCCUUGGGAUCCGUGCCGUAGCUAACGCAUUAAGUACCCCGCCUGGGGAGUACGGCCGCAAGGCUAAAACUCAAAGAAAUUGACGGGGGCCCGCACAAGCGGCGGAGCAUGUGGAUUAAUUCGAUGCAACGCGAAGAACCUUACCUGGGUUUGACAUGCACAGGACGCCGGCAGAGAUGUCGGUUCCCUUGUGGCCUGUGUGCAGGUGGUGCAUGGCUGUCGUCAGCUCGUGUCCUGAAAUGUUGGGU
rnacentral:rRNA from 1 species